UUUAUCUCUUCUAAUUUAUACAGUACAGCGCUCAAACCAGACAAUAUUCAGAAUCUCUUCUAAUUUAUACAGCGCUCAAACCAGACAAUAUUCAGAAUCUCUUCCUGAAUCUUAACACAGUAACUACUUUUUAAAUCAGUGAGUGUCCACUCGAGGGCUGUAUCAUAGCAGGAUCACUAACAGAUAGGCCUACAGCUGGGGCGUAUUCAUUACGCCGGUUCGGUUUAAAAAAUAAAAAUAAAAAACUUUAACGGAAGCAAAGGAAACGGGGCGGGACCUACCUGAAUU
rnacentral:lncRNA from 13 species